rnacentral:tRNA from 1 species
GUUUUUAUGGUGUAACCCAACACAUUGCAUUUUCGUUGCAAAACUGAAACUCCUAUUUCUAAAAACU